rnacentral:rRNA from 1 species
AUUGAACGCUGGCGGCAGGCCUAACACAUGCAAGUCGAGCGAGAGGCGGACGGGUGAGUAAUGUCUGGGAAAGUGCCUGAUGGAGGGGGAUAACUACUGGAAACGGGUGCUAAUAACGAAUACCUUCAGGUGUGUCGAGAUGGGAUUAGCUAGUAGGUGGGGUAAUGGCUCACCUAGGUCACGACCCCUUGCUGGUGUGAGAGGAUGACCAGUCACACUGGAACUGAGACACGGUCCAGACUCCUACGGGAGGCAGCAGUGGGGAAUAUUGCACAAUGGGCGAAAGCCUGAUGCAGCCAUGCCGCGUGUGUGAAGAAGGCCUUCGGGUUGUAAAGCACUUUCAGCGAGGAGGCGUUACUCGCAGAAGAAGCACCGGCUAACUCCGUGCCAGCAGCCGCGGUAAUAC